CUGGAGAACCAAACAGUGGCAGAGGCUCAGUAGCAAUACAUCUAUGUUAAAGGUAACAUCUGGUCUUUGCUCCCUUGAAGGUCAUGACUUUUCAGCCGUUACAUUACAAUGUAAAAACAGGACGUAAGGAUAUUUACUGAUUCAUUAUAUUGGAAACUGAAAGAAGCGAGAACAAGGAUAAAUAAAAUACUCCUGUCUUCACUGAAAGAAAGGAAGCUUAGCUCCUUUUCUCUACCUUCCCUGGCUUGGCUGAUACUGCUGACAAAGUUGCAUGUGCAUGUCUGGAUUUUACUGAUAUAAUUUAUGGCAGCCAGAGGAGCCCCUACCAAGCAUGGAUCUCCAGUGUAUGUGCUAGAUGGGCAAAAGCCUGCUGUAACAGUGCUACUGUUCGAAAGAUUGAAUGGUUUAAAUAUACAGGAAUCUUUCCCCAAAUAAAAAGAAGGUGAACAUCGUGGAGCAGGAUUUCUGUAUCCAGUAUCUUCAAAAUGUGCAUAGAUCUAAAACAUCUUUGUCAUACAAAUGAAAGCUAAAUUUGGAUCAUUGUAAAACAGGGGAAACUCUCAAGAAGGACUCAAGUAGGACUAGGUAAAGAUAGAGUUUGUAAGAUAUUAAAGUCAAUUCUUACUAAGACCAUGACUUUUCUGUCUUAUUUUUAUUGAAUCCUUCUCCAAGACCUUGGAUUUUUGCCAAAGAAAGAAGAAAUGUCGUCCGUAUAGUUAAAAGAAUCAUCAGACAAUUAUUUCUAGUAAACAGCAGAUUAUGUUUAAAUUACUAACCAUCAGAGGUAGAAAGUGAGGUACCUAAAGGAAUCCUCUGCAGUUAGUCUUUGUAAAAUAAAGAUCGUAUAUCCUCAAAGGCUACCAGACAGACAGACUUUGAAGAUCUUCAGGCAGUGAUCC